ensembl:lncRNA
GGCUAUAUACAGGGUGUUACGGUACAGAGUCAAUGUGGAGGCUAUAUACAGGGUGUUACGGUACAGAGUCAAUGUGGAGGCUAUAUACAGGGUGUUACGGUACAGAGUCAAUGUGGAGGCUAUAUACAGGGGGUUCCGGUACAGAGUCAAUGUGGAGGCUAUAUACAGGGUGUUACGGUACAGAGUCAAUGUGGAGGCUAUAUACAGGGGUACCGGUACAGAGUCAAUGUGGAGGCUAUAUACAGGGGGUACCGGUACAGAGUCAAUGUGGAGGCUAUAUACAGGGUGUUACGGUACAGAAUCAAUGUGGAGGCUAUAUACAGGGUGUUACGGUACAGAAUCAAUGUGGAGGCUAUAUACAGAGGGUACCGGUACAGAGUCAAUGUGGAGGCUAUAUACAGGGUGUUAUGGUACAGAAUCAAUGUGGAGGCUAUAUACAGGGU